GGCCGCGUAGCUCAGUUGGCUAGAGCGUAAUCUUAACAUAAGCGUUCGUUUGAGCUGUGUAAAGACGGUUAAGGUCCCCGGUUCGAACCCGGGCGGGGUCA